CCAAGAUACCGGAAAGUUUUGGAAAAUAUAUGGAAGCCAUAGAAGGUUGUGGAAGAAAUUAGAACCAAUUAUGAAAGGAAUAUAUUAACUAGAAUAAAUACACCGCCUGCACUAGAUGGAAAAGGAAGCGUUUAUGGAUCCUGCGGGCCCUUCACGCACUCCAAGAGCUCAUAGGCACAUGGAAAAACACGCCACAAGCCAUGGUGGUUCAAGCCGAGAUUGUAACCGACGCUCCACCAUGAACCUCCUAUGAAACUUCCGGUCACUAGCAACCUUUGUGCUCAUUUCAUCGACCAUUGAAGGUACAAGAAUGAGUAACUCCUGAUCCUGGGAUAGAUGAAGUCACCGGGGAAGCAUGGCAGCCAUUUUCAGAGAAACUAAAUGCUGUUCCUUCCAGAAUAUCCAGUGGCUCCAUCCCAGGAUUGUCAGUUGAGAAAUUUCUAGAGGACAAUCGAACAUUAGCACUCAAUAUAUUUCGUUUUAAGCCCUUCUCGACAAUAGUCCCCACCCCAUUCAUGUUCCUAUUGUUCUCAGUAUAGUUGUAAGUAUUUUAUGAUGCUGCAUAAUUUUUGCGUCUCAGUUUCAUUAUAGCCUUUAAAAUUCCAGCUUCGUAUGCGGGGUUAUUGGUCAUAUAAUUGGUGUUGGGGUUGUUCUUGGUCUUCAGAACAUUGGUGCACUGUAAAAAGAGUAUACCCUGCUUUAGAAUUAUUAUUUUUUAAAUGAAAAUACCGACAGAUUUUCAUGAUUCUGUCUGUUUUAAAAAUCACUGACUAAAUUGUCAACAGAAUCAUUGAUGCUCAACUUUCUGAUGACUGAAUUCUGUCGGUGAUUUUUAAUACCAGCAUGAUUUUCUCUAAAUGCUGACCGUCAUUUCUGAGUGUGAAAAAAAUCCUGAAACUAAACGAUUUCUUGAAAAUGGGAAUAGCUCCCAUGAAAGCCCAGGUAUAUCCUGUUCCAUGUGGUGGACAUAUCACAAAAGUAAUUUAUCAAAUUAAGCUUUUAACAACUGAUUUACAUGACGAGGAUAUAAGUUUGAUAAAAUUUGAAUAGGUACAUAAACUUACUUUGUGCGAUCAUGAGUUGAAAUGGAGCUAAUGCAUCCGAUUAGUAGUCCAAAAAAUGGAGGAAAAUGAAUUCUUGCAUGUUGUAGAAUUGAACUUUUUCUCUCGUAAAUAUGAGAAUUGAAUAAUCAUAUGUAUUUUUAAAUUAGACUAUACAUCAAUCAAAAUUAUGUUUUUAUACGAAUGAUCUUAAAAAUACAAUUCUCACGUGGAUCCCAUUUAUCUUAUUAAGCCAAUAUUAAAAACUAAAAAACAGAAAAGAGAUAAAUAUCCUUAGGGGAUAAAUAGCAAGUAGAGCUUUUCAAUCAGGCUACGAGUUUUUCUGUAAAACUCUUGUUAAUGUCAAGUGGUAAAUAGACUUUUUUGGAACACACAUGCUAGUUUUCUGGUCAGAGAGUUUUGAGUUGAGGUUUGGAGGAAAUGCAUGUUCAUAUGUCAAGAGUAAAUGCUAGUUUUCUAGUUUUUUUUUUUUUUUGAACCUUUUGAAAGGCAAGCCUGCUUUCUUUAGUGUCUCGGAAUUUGCUAGAGUUGAGAUUUGAGGAACUGCCUAAUUUAGUGCUUUUAACUCAAUUAUUUGAACAUUCAUGUAUAAAUAUACCAAUCAAACAAUCAAGGUAAAGUUAGCAUACGGAACUACAUCUUUCAAAAUCAUAUAUAUUUGUUAGUUCUUAAUUCGACUUUUUGUAUCCCCUGUUUGUUCUUAUGUAGGUUUUUGAACUGUGUCUAAGCUUUCUGAAAUGAUGUCUGUACAAGUUAUAUGAUUGCUGUUUCAUUGAUAUUUUAGAUUUCUUCCAUUUCAGCUUGUUUGAUACAUGAAAGAACUGGUGCCCCGCUUUCUGAAAUGUGUUCUCUGAAUAAGUAGACUUUACACCUUAUAUUGCUAGUUCUUAAUUAUUGCUUGUGAAACCAAAACAUGUAUGUAUUAUAAGUUUUUCGCCACAUUUUUCUUGUUGGUACUGAUCCUGUUUUUGUUUUAAAAUUAUAAAUUUAGGUAGGCUAUGAUAUGAUGAUAAUGUGAUGCAGUCAAAAUGGAUGUAUUUGUGCCUUAUGGUUGAAUAAUUUUAGAUCAGUUUAACAUUCUAUAAGGGUUCUGACGUGUUGGCAAAAUGCCAAAUUCACCUUUGUUGUUGUAUAUUUUCUUACUAGAAGAUGCAUGUCAGGUUUCUUGAAUAUGGAUGAAGAAAAGUCCUUAUCAGAAGCUCUCACAGCUGAUGUGUAUGCUAGUUUUGUCCACAUGAACAAGCUUCGGGCACAGUGCUGCAUUGGAAAGUAGAAACGGCUUUAGCUUGCAACAUUCCGUAUGUUUUUUCAACUCUCUUUUUGGGAACUGUUCAGCUCCGUCCGAAGGCAUGCGAGAUAGAGGUCUUGGCAUAGUUAUGGAAGUGGAAGUUUGGUUACUAGUGGCACCCUAGCAUCAAAGCAUAUCCUUGGAAAAGGUUUUUCAUUUUUCAGUUCUCAUACAGGUGUUGCUCAUAGCAGCCCAGAUGGAUCGAAGAACUAUAAGCUUCAUCAAAAUUCAGUCUAUAUAUGCUCUUCUAAUUUCAGUGAUCUUCUUUCGUUACCUGUUUUAUUUUAAUACCAGGUGAGCCUCCUCCUUUCGCAACCUCCAAGGAUGCCGCUGGGGUAGAACUUGAACAUGCGCUGUUAAAUUCACAUCAGUAACAUGACAAACAUUGUUCAAAUUACUGUUUCCCUCGCCAUUAUUGCUUCAAGUUCAAGUUCUUUAAUUGUUUUAAAUAUUAAUUAUAAUAAGACAUUUACUGCACUAUGGUCUACCCGACAAGUGGGGAGGAACCUGCUCUGUCAUAGGUUUGCCUUACCUAAAUGAUCUGGCUUUUAACUU